AACGUAGGUGGCGAGCGUUAUCCGGAAUUACUGGGCGUAAAGCGUGUGCAGGCGGGCUGUCAAGUGGUGUAUGAAAUCUCCCGGCUUAACCGGGAUAGGUUAUGCCAGACUGGCAGUCUAGAGGCUGAGAGAGGAGCGUGGAAUUCCGGGUGUAGUGGUAAAAUGCGCAGAUAUCAGGAGGAACACCGGUGGCGAAGGCGGGUCUCUGGGCCGAAACUGACGCUGAGGAGCGAAAGCGUGGGGAGCAAACAGG
rnacentral:rRNA from 1 species